UUUUUCUAGAGGUGAACGCGGGGGAGGAUCAUUU
rnacentral:rRNA from 1 species